rnacentral:lncRNA from 1 species
AUUCUCCCAUCCACUGGCAAGACGCCGCAGCAUCUGCAUCCCACUUCCCACAGCAGAUUCCACGUGGCACGCCCCAGUGAUGGCCACGGCUCCGCUCCACUACUCUUCGCAGUAGAUUCCUCCUGACUAAGGGCGGCCCACUACCUGGCGGUUACAAACGUCGCCAUCAAUCCGUUACCUCCCCCGCCUAUAAAAGGGGGACCCAGAUACGUUAUUCUCUAAGCUCAUUUCUUAUCUCAAAACUCUGCUAAAUUCUCCGUUCGAGCACUCCAUUCUUGUUGAGGCAGAGAACUGACUUGAGCAUCGGAGGGUCUUGCCGGAGCAACCCCACCUCCGGUUUAGACUUUCUUUGCAGGUCCCGGCGGCGACUGCGGCUUCCCCGA